rnacentral:tRNA from 1 species
CAAGGAAUAGUUUAUGCAGAAUUUCAGCUUUGGGUGUUGAUGGUGGGGUAUGAAUGCCUCUUCCUUGA